rnacentral:rRNA from 1 species
ACGGGUGAGUAAUAUAUCGGAACGUGCCCAGUCGUGGGGGAUAACGUAGCGAAAGCUACGCUAAUACCGCAUACGAUCUACGGAUGAAAGCGGGGGAUCGCAAGACCUCGCGCGAUUGGAGCGGCCGAUAUCAGAUUAGCUAGUUGGUGGGGUAAAAGCCCACCAAGGCGACGAUCUGUAGCUGGUCUGAGAGGACGACCAGCCACACUGGGACUGAGACACGGCCCAGACUCCUACGGGAGGCAGCAGUGGGGAAUUUUGGACAAUGGGCGAAAGCCUGAUCCAGCAAUGCCGCGUGCAGGACGAAGGCCUUCGGGUUGUAAACUGCUUUUGUACGGAACGAAACGGUCUCUUCUAAUACAGGGGGCUAAUGACGGUACCGUAAGAAUAAGCACCGGCUAACUACGUGCCAGCAGCCGCGGUAAUACGUAGGGUGCGAGCGUUAAUCGGAAUUACUGGGCGUAAAGCGUGCGCAGGCGGUGAUGUAAGACAGAUGUGAAAUCCCCGGGCUCAACCUGGGACCUGCAUUUGUGACUGCAUCACUAGAGUACGGUAGAGGGGGAUGGAAAUUCCGCGUGUAGCA